CCCGCUGAACUUAAGCAUAUCAAUAAGCGGAGGAAAAGAAACUAACAAGGAUUCCCCUAGUAACUGCGAGUGAAGCGGGAACAGCUCAAAUUUUGAAUCUGGCGGUCUCUGGCCGUCCGAAUUGUAAUCUAGAGAAGUGCUAUCCGCGCGGGACCGUGUACAAGUCUCCUGGAAGGGAGCGUCGUAGAGGGUGAGAAUCCCGUCUCUGACACGGAGCCCCAGUGCUUUGCGAUGCGCUCUCGACGAGUCGAGUUGUUUGGGAAUGCAGCUCUAAUUGGGUGGUAAAUUCCAUCUAAAGCUAAAUACAGGCGAGAGACCGAUAGCGAACAAGUACCGUGAGGGAAAGAUGAAAAGAACUUUGGAAAGAGAGUUAAACAGUAUGUGAAAUUGCUGAAAGGGAAACGCUUGAUGUCAGUCACGUUGGCUAGGGAUCAACCUUGCUUCUCGCUGGGUGUAUUUCCUAGUGGACGGGUCAGCAUCAGUUUCGGUCGCUGUACAAGGGCAAAGGGAACGUGGCACUCCUUGGAGUGUGUUAUAGCCUUUCGUCGUAUGCAGUGGUUGGGACUGAGGAACUCGGCACGAAAUCUAUUUUGUGCUUAGGAUGCUGGCAUAAUGGCCUUAAGCGACCCGUCUUGAAACACGG
rnacentral:rRNA from 1 species